AUUGAACGCUGGCGGCAUGCUUUACACAUGCAAGUCGAACGGUAACAGGGAGCCUGCUCCGCUGACGAGUGGCGAACGGGUGAGUAAUGCGUCGGAACGUGCCGAGUAGUGGGGGAUAACGCAUCGAAAGGUGUGCUAAUACCGCAUACGAACUGAGGUUGAAAGUGGGGGACCUUCGGGCCUCACGCUAUUCGAGCGGCCGACGUCUGAUUAGCUAGUUGGUGAGGUAAAGGCUCACCAAGGCGACGAUCAGUAGCGGGGCUGAGAGGAUGAUCCGCCACACUGGGAAUGAGACACGGCCCAGACUACUACGGGAGGCAGCAGUGGGGAAUUUUGGACAAUGGGCGCAAGCCUGAUCCAGCCAUGCCGCGUGUCUGAAGAAGGCCUUCGGGUUGUAAAGGACUUUUGUCCGGGAGCAAAUGCUGGUGGCUAACAUCCACCGGAGCUGAGAGUACCGGAAGAAUAAGCACCGGCUAACUACGUGCCAGCAGCCGCGGUAACAC
rnacentral:rRNA from 1 species